rnacentral:rRNA from 1 species
GCAGAGGCGUGGGCAACAGGCGGGGUAAGACAGUGGGGUGUAGGGUUGGUAGGAAGUCAUGGUCGGAAAGCGCGUGUAGGCUGGUUGGUAAGGUCCGUGUGAAAUCCUCAGGCUGAACCUGGGAAGUGCGCGGAAAACUGGCGAGCUUGAAUGCCGGAGAGGGUCGAGGAAUUCCCGGUGUAGAGGUGAAAUUCGUAGAUAACGGGAGGAACACCAGUGGCGAAGGCGGCGACCUGGACGGACAUUGACGCUGAGACGCGAAAGCGUGGGGAGCAAACAGGAUUAGAUACCCCAGUAGUC